AGCAACGGUAAUCGGAUUACUGGGCGUAAGCGCACGCAGGCGGUUUGUUAAGUCAGAUGUGAAAUCCCCGGGCUCAACCUGGGAACUGCAUCUGAUACUGGCAAGCUUGAGUCUCGUAGAGGGGGGUAGAAUUCCAGGUGUAGCGGUGAGAUGCGUAGAGAUCUGGAGGAAUACCGGUGGCGAAGGCGGCCCCCUGGACGAAGACUGACGCUCAGGUGCGAAAGCGUGGGGAGCAAACAGGAUUAGAUACCCUGGUAGUCCACGCCGUAAACGAUGUCGACUUGGAGGUUGUGCCCUUGAGGCGUGGCUUCCGGAGCUAACGCGUUAAGUCGACCGCCUGGGGAGUACGGCCGCAAGGUUAAAACUCAAAUGAAUUGACGGGGGCCCGCACAAGCGGUGGAGCAUGUGGUUUAAUUCGAUGCAACGCGAAGAACCUUACCUGGUCUUUGACAUC
rnacentral:rRNA from 1 species